CUGGGCCGCUGUACACCCUGGCCGGGCUUCCAACGCGGGCUACAUCUGGUGGCGAUUGUCUCAGUGCGUGCCUCCUGGGACCAGUUUUGUGUGUAAGCAGGAUGGAGGCUGACCUGUCUGGCUUUAACAUCGAUGCCCCCCGUUGGGACCAAUACACUUUCCUGGGACGGGUGAAACACUUCUUCAACAUCACAGACCCCCGCACUGUCUUUGUACCAGAGAGGCAGCUAGACUGGGCCAAGGUGACGGUGGAGAAGAGCAGGAUGGGGGUUGUGCCACCAGGCACCCAAGUGGAGCAGCUGCUGUAUGCCAAGAAGCUAUAUGACUCUGCCUUCCACCCUGACACUGGGGAGAAGAUGAACGUCAUUGGUCGGAUGUCCUUCCAGGUCCCUGGUGGCAUGAUCAUCACAGGCUUCAUGCUCCAGUUUUACAGGACGAUGCCGGCGGUGAUCUUCUGGCAGUGGGUGAACCAGUCCUUCAAUGCUUUAGUCAACUACACCAACAGGAAUGCAGCUUCCCCCACAUCAGUCAGGCAGAUGGCCCUUUCCUACUUCACAGCCACAACCACUGCGGUGGCCACUGCUGUAGGCAUGAACACGUUGACGAAGAGAGCUCCACCCUUGGUGGGCCGCUGGGUGCCCUUUGCCGCCGUGGCUGCAGCUAACUGUGUCAAUAUCCCAAUGAUGCGACAGCAGGAACUCAUCCAGGGCAUCUGCGUCAAGGACAAGAAUCACAAUGAUAUCGGUCAUUCCCGGAGAGCUGCAGCCAUAGGCAUCACCCAAGUGGUUAUUUCUCGGAUCACCAUGGCAGCUCCUGGCAUGAGUAUGCAGGUUGAGAAAUUUGGGAAGCUCCGUUCUGCUGGGACAUGGGAGAAGUUGGGGGAGGCUACUUCUACACGGUCUUCUGCUCUUCUCCCAAAUGACAAUCUUGUUGCCAGUCAUCAUGGAAAGGCUGGAGAAACUGCAUUUCAUGAAGAAAAUCAAGGUCCUGCAUGCCCCAUUGCAGGUCAUGCUGUCUGGGUGCUUUGGCCAAGCUCAGAAGACCUGUGGUUCAUCUGGAGAGCUCUUGCCCCGUCAUUUUUGGGGGCAGUAGGCUGGCGAGGCUCUGUAUACACAUCGGAAUGGAAAGCGGAAUGCUUGGGUGCUCUCCUGUCCUGGGGUCUCCCCUCUGACCUCGAGUCUGGAGCAGUUUUCAAGAAGAGACAAGAAUGAUGAGACAUAGCUUUGGCUGGGGCUGUCAAUGUUCCAGCCUCGCACAGGAGGAAAAUGCCACAAGUCAGCCUCAUCUUCAUGGUGCCAGUGGCAUGUGGGCUCUUCCCACAGGAAUGGUAUCAGCUAUUCAUUCCUCACUUUGUUUCAUUGAAUACCCUGUCACCACUCCAUCUGACCUGCCUGCCAUCCAGGAGAGAUGGUGGUGGCAGGAAGGACAUCAUUUGUCCAAGGACAAGCCCAUCAGCAUAAACUCUGGGCCUCUUAGCCUCAGUGAAUGGUGGACCAAAACAGAACUCCAAGGGGCAGGAGAAGUAGGAGAACGAAUGAGGUUGCUUCUUCUGAGUGGAUGAAUUGCCCGUGUCCUAUGUGGAACCAGAGCUCCAAGACACCAUCAAGGCCAAGUAUGGAGAACUUGUGCCUUAUGUCUACUUCAAUAAGGGUCUUUAAAUCUCCCACUCCAGCAAGGACCAGUAUAUACCCAUGUUUACCAGGUCCUCCUUAGCUGCUGUGCGCUCCUGUGCCCUCAUUCCUCUGCCAACAACUCUCAAAGGCCAGGAUGGAUUGAGGGUGGGGGUGGGAGGAUGCCUCAUGCUUCCACCCGGAAUCUGGUUUUUUGGAGUCUAGGGGAUGAAAGUGAAAAAGGAGAGCAAAGACCAAAGUCUGUCUGCUUCUUCCUUCACCGCUGUCCUUUGGAGAUCAGAAGCUGAGGCCCUCUCAGGCAGAAGUUGCUGGCGCCUGGGGGAGACAUGCAAACAAAUCAUUUGGAAAACUUAGGAAAAUUUUAGGAUUCUCGUUCUAGCCAGGAUUGGAGAAGAGCCCCUGGGACGAAGAGAAGCUCCUACUCCUCUUUCCUCUUCCCUUCUUCCUCCUCUCUCAAGUAGUGGAACCAUUUACGCAUGCAGUUCUAGCCUAACUCAGGAGGAGAAGGGGGAAGACGUCUGCGCCGCUCUGGAGACUCAUCUCCCUUCUUCCCCAUUUUCCUCUCCAUUGCCCCCUGGUUGGCAAGCUUUUUUGGGAGUGUAGCUAAACUUGAGUUUCUCAGGCACCCAAGAGUUAUUAGUGCUAAAAAGGAUACUAUGUGAGGCAGCAGAGUUUCAUGAUGCUUUAAGCUCCAUCUGUUGACAUAGACUUUACUGUGCCCUAAAAUCAUGUCUGAAUCUGUUCUUGGGAUCUCCUCUGUAAUUGUGGAAGUUCUCUUCCCCCCACUGCCUCACAUGUCUGUUUUAAAAGAUAAAUCCACUAACUGUGAGUAAAAAGGAUAUAUGUAAGCACUGACCACGUUUUUUUAAGACUAUACUUUUUUUUUUUAGUCAUUACACAAUAUAAACAUUUUUUGUGGCCAUUUACCAAUUUCUCCCUCCCCUUCCCUCCCUCUUUCCCACCUCUGGUGGUAAUCACACAUUUUAAUGGGUAUAGCUUCCUGGCUGCCUCCCUUCCUCAGUCCAUGAGGUUAAAUACCAAAAAAGACUGGUGUGUACUGAAUAGGAAAGGGAAACUAUUUGGACAUCUCUAAGAGAAGCCAACCAAGACCAAAGAACCGUAAAGGACACAACAAAGCAAAGCCACUUUCUUUCCCCAGCUUGGCUGCCCUAGGUGAUUUCUCAAGCUUCUCAGGGAACUGUUGUGGCUUACCUGGGGUCAACGUGUGUAUGAGUUUUGUCUGGUAGGAUUUUCUGACUCUGU